CCACGCCUCAGAGCUCAACGACUGUUCACCUACACCCACACUGCUUAAAGACGGCAGAAGUUUAAACUGCCGCUGCUUGUUUCACCAUGUCUGAAGAGAUACAGCGCCACAGAUCUAUCAUUCCUAAAGCUGAAUCUAAGUUGUCUGAUGGACUGAAUUUCAGCCUGUGACCACCAGAGGAAUGUGUUCAUGUUCAGGUUCAGGUAAGCCUCCAGGUCCAUUUGGAGCCACAGGUAUGGAGACUGUGUGACUGCAAUUAUGAUGCCAGAGGUCGGUGGUGAUAUGCAAUAUGUUUAACUGUCUCUUUUUUUUCUGUUCCCUCAUUUUUUCACCAUAUUAGGCAUAUGGAGAUCCGUCCAGCAGGCCUCUAAUGUGGAUGGGAUGGCCGAUACUCUGACGUGGAGCCUCAGCAGAACCCUUGACUAACGGUUUCACAGGUGGUAUGAUGUGAAACCCAUGAAGAGAUCAGCAGUUUUCUUGAGAUGGUUCAUCACUGUUCUCGCUUCCUCGCUGUUAUCUUGAGAUAAUAUUGAGCUUGUCUGUGUUUAGUAAAUCUUUUAAGAGUCUCUGGAAACAUUCAGCAAUAAACUGUGGAUCAUUAUCAGAUAUAAACUCAGAUGGUACAUCUGUAAGCUGGGCUAUCUCAAUCUCAAUAAAACCAGCACUUAA